AUUGAACGCUGUCGGCAGGCCUAACACAUGCAUGUCGAACGAGAGGCGGACGGGUGAGUAAUGUCUGAGCAACUGCCUGAUGGAGGGGGAUAACUACUGGAAACGGUAGCUCAUACCGCAUACCCUCGGAUGAGCCCAGAUGGGAUUAGCUAGUAGGUGGGGUAAAGGCUCACCUAGGCGACGAUCCCAACCUGGUAUGAGAGGAUGCACAGCAACACUGUAACCGCGACACGGUCCAGACUCCUACGUGAGGCAGCAGUGGGGAAUAUUGAUCAAUGGGCGCAAGCCGGAUGCAGACAUGCCGAGUGUGUGAAGAAGGCCUUCGGGUUGUAAAGUACGUUCAGCGGGGAGGCGUUGCCCGAAGAAGAAGAACCGGCUAACUCCGUGCCAGCCGCCGCGGUAAUAC
rnacentral:rRNA from 1 species